UCACAUCCAGCACUAUUAGCACUGGCGCCCCCCAGGGGUGUGUGCUCUCCCCACUGCUCUGCUCCCUCUACACCAACGACUGCACCUCAGGAGAUCCCUGACGGGACAAAAUGCUGGUGGCAAUAGGUAGGUUAACUAAAGAUGAAGCUAUUAAUCGAACAUUUUAGACAUAGUUUAGCCUACUCAUGGACCUGUGAUUGUAAUGCCACAGUCUGACUCAGCAGGCCUAUUAAUGAUUUUUUUUUUGUUGCAGUGGAAAAUGUGUCUAGAUUCAAACUGACUGUAAAGUUUUCUAUUUUCCAUUGAUACAAUCUUGCUCAUUUCAUAUUUUAUUAUUUUAAUGCCCGUCAGACUAUCAGCAGAUAGUCAUGAAAAACUCACUUUUAAACUACAUUUAUUUGCUUCAGCUGCACCACAGUCAUCCUCACUCAGAAAUAUUCACAUCAUAUCCAGCUGAUAACUACGAUAGGAAUGAUCCAAACUGUGCGACCACAAUAUGAAAGAUUACUGUUAAUUGAUCCGUUUUAUACAGAUUAAUUUAAACAGUGAUUCCUGCAGUAAUGUAGUGUUUCACCUGAACCUGACAGCUGCCUCAAUGUCCACAGAAUCAUAGUGUUAUAAAGGACAGAUUUUAUUCUGUGCUGUGGAGAAAUCCACAAUGUCCAAAGAUACCUCUCUGUCCAUACAUCGAGUGAUUGUUAAAGACUUCACCGCGGUCAUGUUCAAGAUCAUUUUUGGGUAAAAAAAACUAACAGCCUAUCUAACUCUGAUUUUGGUGUUUCUAAAGACUUAACUGUGUUCCAAUAUAUUCUUUGAUAUUGACAAUAUGAAUGAGGAAAUGUCAGUAAGUGCUUCAGGCCCUGCAAGAGGGGAGGAGAGAAACUCGGCAUUCGUUGAAGUAAAUCGCCUCCUGAGGAGGUUAGGUUCACAGCGUAAGUUGCCAGGGUUACUGAUCUAGGGUUUAUCUGAUAUCAGUCUCUGAAACCGAAAAUAGUGAUCUACUGUGUUACAGCUGCCAUUUUGGCCGCUAGUAAAAGUUACCACAAAGCACGGGACUUCCUGUCGGCUCGGCGGCAUUGUGAGGCUACCCAGCCGACCAAUCACGGUGCUUACGGUCCGCAUCGACGUAGUUACAUUUUUGAGGAGGUGCACGUCAGGUGACAGCGUAGCCUCUGUAGCCUUGUAGCCUACGCUGGCAAUUCAACGCCGAAGUUACACUUUAGUGAAUUGGUGGUGUGCAUGAUCACAGUGUUGUCAGAAUAUUUAAUGUAUGUUAUACCUGGGUUAGUGCUCCUGCAGUCAUCACUGUGUAUACAGAACCAGUGAGGAUACGAAGCCUUAAUUGAAUGUGAAAGGAAUGGAUAAUGAUGUGUCUCACACAUUUAAUUUCACUGUCGCAUGUUAUCUCUUUAUCAUUUAAAUAUUUAAACCGGCAGUGGUAUUUGUGCUUGUGCUAUUGAGCCAUAACUAUUCCAUAUCGCACCUUUCAAUUGUAAAAUAUAUAAACCAAGUGUCAACUCAGAGGAGAGGGCCGGACUAUUGUGGAGCACCGCAGAUAGUUGACAUGAAUUUAGCUACUGAGUCUUCUUCAGACCUCAACUCGGUUUACUGAUGGAAUUAUCAUCAACUUAAAAAUCCAAGAUAACAUCAAGUUUUUUAGUAACUAGUUUUUAAUAAAUCCCUGUGGAUAUAUAACCAUUUAGUCUUCAGUUUAGUUUCACAUCUUCACCACAUAUGGACAGCGUAAAUGAACAAAGUCUGUAAAUAAAGCGAAUGACAGCUCUUGCACAGUCGCUACCCUGCGUAAUGCUGCAUGGUGGCUGCACAAUGGCGCUACAGAGGACAACGCCAAUGGAAAGAUUAUGUGUGUGUGUGUGAACCCUGGCAGCGAAUGUACUCACGCGAGGAAAGCGUCGCCUGUUAUUUCUUUCGUCCUCCACGUCAGUGAUCAGCAUCUCGGUCUUGCACUUAUUAAAGUGUGUUGUUGUUUUGCAGCAGGAUUGGCUGUUGAAAUAAGGACGUUAGGAGGUGAUGCUGGUGUAUUUAUGGUCAUUUACAUAGUCAUUUAUGGGAGGAGCCAAGGCGGGGUAUGUAGCUCAUGCAUGUGCGCUCAAUUUCACGUUGAUUGGGAUCAUAGACUGUAUAUAAGAAGUGGAUGUAGUCAUCGUGACGUCACCCGUUGGUUUGUACACUGCCGUUAAGGCGUUGCCAUGUUUGUUUGCAACCGAUCGCACCGUAUGUGGCCAUAUUUGGACGAGACGGUGGAGCUAACGGCCGUGUGCGGAGCUAGCUCGCUUGCUUAGCUAUGUGCAUCUGUAAUUGACGUUAACUGUCAUUUUAACCUGGAUGACGAUUUUGUCUAGUGAACAGGCUUAAAACUAAAUGUACAAAGGAGUGGAAAAUAUUCUUGCGUAUUUUUUAAACUGGUGUGUGUGUGUGUGUGUGUGUGUGUGUGUGAGUGAAGUCUUCUUCUGCACAAAUGAUGGCUCGGUGUCUCUGUCAGUGUAUACAAGAAAGAAAGAGGUCUGGCACUUCCUAGCUACGUGGACAUUCCGUGAACAGGGCAUGGAAGUUUCUAUUGGGUCAAUUAAAGCCUAUUUCACACUACACGAUUUUUAGCCUUAUUGGCCGCUCAGCGAGCUCGACUAUCAUCAGGCCGUGAUCGGGAGUAAAUCAGCGGUUGAUCGGCGGUUGCCAGUUGUUAUGUGUGAACUACUCAAUGACACGUCAAAACGGCUCCCAUUUCUGACACAUCACUGACGUCUGGCAGAUAUCUAGCGUGGCAAAUAUCUGGAAGAAUUGGCCGACUCCUCAACAUCAUGUGGUGUGAAAAGUGUGGAGAAGGUUUGGCCAAUGAGACAUGUGGCUGGCUCAACGGAAGAGAAACGGACUGUGUCACCGGAAGAGAAACGGACUGUGUCACCGGAAGAGAAACGGACUGUGUCACCGGAAGAGAAACGUAGUCCGUUUAACGUAAAUAAAGUGGAAACGCUGUGUAACAUUCUAAGACGACAAAAAGUAGCAGCAACAAGAAAAGUGUGGACACAGGUCAUGGAGCAAAAUUUUAUUGAACUCUGGCAGGAGCACGAAUGCCUGUAUGAUGUGUCGAAGGAGAAGUACCACGACCGAACAGAGAAAGAGAAGAGGUGGACAGAAAUUAAUAAUGCUCUUCAACAGCAAGGUGAGCAAAACAUGUUUUCAGUAAGAGCUAUGUUAAUUAUUGUAAUGACGAGAGAUAGUACAAUGCCUACAUGGCAGCCGUAAUAAGCACUUGAUAAAUGAUGUUACCAGCAUGACUGUCGACUUAAGUAAUGCAUUUUUUUUUUUGGGCCACUUUGUCUUAAAACAUUACUGCAAGACCCCCCUCAGUUUCAGGGCACAGUUUAAAACGGUCAAAUGAAAUUCUGGAGUGCAUAACAGCUGACAACAAUGCAUAUUCUUUCUUGUUUGUCUCCUUCAGUUGAGGACGUGAAGACGAGGGCUACAAACGCAGUUUUCUAGGUUGAUGAAACCAAAACCGAGUGGGAGUGGCAGCAAACCAUUGAUGCCUAGGCAAAGAUGGCUCCUCAGGGCCAUGGAUUUCAUUAAAACCUACAUUGUUCACCGUCCAUGUGAGACCACUCUUUGUGCUUCAUUCACCGAGCGUGAUGACCUCAAUCUCUCUGAAUCAAACCCCACCACAUCAGCAGAUAGCGCAUCAUGUUCUGCCUCCUCCCUUGAAUCGUCAGAUGAAAGAGCUUCUCCAACGGCUGGAGAGGAAACUCCUUCACCUACCUCAACAGAGAGCAGGAUGGCACAACGGGGAUCAAGCACCAGCGGAGUAAAGCGCAAGGGGAUGUCAGAAACUGAUAUCGAGCUGCAGAAGCUUGCCUUGUUAAAGCAGAAGGCGGCAAAAAUGGAUGCAGAACCCACUCCUGAUGUAUUAGCUACAUUUGGGAACCAGGUUGUAUUGGAACUGAGGCUAAUUUAAGACCCUGCAUACCUUACACAGUUGAAAAGGGACAUAAUGAAUAUGAUCUACGACACUCAGGAAACUGAAAGGCACAGAUCUUCCUCUUCACAUGCACCGCCUACGCCAUACACAUUUCAACCCAUCUUGUCAUCUUCGCCACCAGAAUGGCCUCAACCUCAGAACACAUCGUCACCUCGGACUACGUAUCCGAGCUUUUUACAGUCAUUGCAAGGCCAUGAUCACAUUGACAAUCUGAAGUAUACUACAUACAAUAGUACUUAUGUUUAGGUAUACUUACGUGUGUGUGUGUGUGUGUGUGUGUGUGUGUGUGUGUGUGUGUGUUUGGUUAUUGGGUUUUUUGUAUAGUAUUUUUUCAUUCCUGCACUGUUGCACUUGUAAGCACAUUAUAUAUUUAACUAUUAUUUGAAGGCAUGUUGACAUUGCAGUGUUACUUUUUAAAUAAAUCUUUGAAACCUA